rnacentral:rRNA from 1 species
AUUGAACGCUGGCGGCAGGCCUAACACAUGCAAGUCGAACGAGUGGCGGACGGGUGAGUAAUGUCUGGGAAACUGCCCGAUGGAGGGGGAUAAAUAAUGGAAACGGUAGCUAAUACCGCAUACCAUCGGAUGUGCCCAGAGGGGAUUAGCUGGUAGGGGAGGUAACGGCUCACCUAGGCGACGAUCCCUAGCUGGUGUGAGAGGAGGACCAGCCACACUGGAACUGAGACACGGGCCAGACUCCUACGGGAGGCAGCCGUGGGGAAUAUUGCACAAUGGGCGCAAGCCUGAUGCAGCCAUGCCGCGUGUAUGAAGAAGGCCUUCGGGUUGUAAAGUACUUUCAGCGGGGAGGCGUUACCCGCAGAAGAAGCACCGGCUAACUCCGUGCCAGCCGCCGCGGUAAUUC